UCCCGUGUGGCUCAGUUGGUAGAGCAUGGUGUUUGCAAUGCCAGGGUUGUGGGUUCGAUUCCCACAAGGGAC
rnacentral:tRNA from 1 species